AGAGUUUGAUCAUGGCUCAGAUUGAACGCUGGCGGCAGGCCUAACACAUGCAAGUCGAACGGUAACAGGAAGCAGCUUGCUGCUUUGCUGACGAGUGGCGGACGGGUGAGUAAUGUCUGGGAAACUGCCUGAUGGAGGGGGAUAACUACUGGAAACGGUGGCUAAUACCGCAUAACGUCGCAAGACCAAAGAGGGGGACCUUCGGGCCUCUUGCCAUCAGAUGUGCCCAGAUGGGAUUAGCUUGUUGGUGAGGUAACGGCUCACCAAGGCGACGAUCCCUAGCUGGUCUGAGAGGAUGACCAGCCACACUGGAACUGAGACACGGUCCAGACUCCUACGGGAGGCAGCAGUGGGGAAUAUUGCACAAUGGGCGCAAGCCUGAUGCAGCCAUGCCGCGUGUAUGAAGAAGGCCUUCGGGUUGUAAAGUACUUUCAGCGGGGAGGAAGGUGUUGCGGUUAAUAACCGCAGCAAUUGACGUUACCCGCAGAAGAAGCACCGGCUAACUCCGUGCCAGCAGCCGCGGUAAUACGGAGGGUGCAAGCGUUAAUCGGAAUUACUGGGCGUAAAGGGCACGCAGGCGGUCUGUCAAGUCGGAUGUGAAAUCCCCGGGCUCAACCUGGGAACUGCAUUCGAAACUGGCAGGCUUGAGUCUUGUAGAGGGGGGUAGAAUUCCAGGUGUAGCGGUGAAAUGCGUAGAGAUCUGGAGGAAUACCGGUGGCGAAGGCGGCCCCCUGGACAAAGACUGACGCUCAGGUGCGAAAGCGUGGGGAGCAAACAGGAUUAGAUACCCUGGUAGUCCACGCCGUAAACGAUGUCUACUUGGAGGUUGUGCCCUUGAGGCGUGGCUUCCGGAGCUAACGCGUUAAGUAGACCGCCUGGGGAGUACGGCCGCAAGGUUAAAACUCAAAUGAAUUGACGGGGGCCCGCACAAGCGGUGGAGCAUGUGGUUUAAUUCGCUGCAACGCGAAGAACCUUACCUGGUCUUGACAUCCACAGAACUUUCCAGAGAUGGAUUGGUGCCUUCGGGAACUGUGAGACAGGUGCUGCAUGGCUGUCGUCAGCUCGUGUUGUGAAAUGUUGGGUUAAGUCCCGCAACGAGCGCAACCCUUAUCCUUUGUUGCCAGCGAUUAGGUCGGGAACUCAAAGGAGACUGCCAGUGAUAAACUGGAGGAAGGUGGGGAUGACGUCAAGUCAUCAUGGCCCUUACGACCAGGGCUACACACGUGCUACAAUGGCGCAUACAAAGAGAAGCGACCUCGCGAGAGCAAGCGGACCUCAUAAAGUGCGUCGUAGUCCGGAUUGGAGUCUGCAACUCGACUCCAUGAAGUCGGAAUCGCUAGUAAUCGUGGAUCAGAAUGCCACGGUGAAUACGUUCCCGGGCCUUGUACACACCGCCCGUCACACCAUGGGAGUGGGUUGCAAAAGAAGUAGGUAGCUUAACCUUCGGGAGGGCGCUUACCACUUUGUGAUUCAUGACUGGGGUGAAGUCGUAACAAGGUAACCGUAGGGGAACCUGCGGUUG
rnacentral:rRNA from 1 species